rnacentral:rRNA from 1 species
UACGAAGAUGGCAAGCGUUGUUCGGAUUUACUGGGCGUACAGGGAGCGUAGGCGGUUGGAUAAGCCCUCCGUGAAAUCUCCAGGCUUAACCUGGAAAGUGCAGAGGGGACUGUUCAGCUAGAGGAUGGGAGAGGAGCGCGGAAUUCCCGGUGUAGCGGUGAAAUGCGUAGAGAUCGGGAGGAACACCGGUGGCGAAGGCGGCAUCCUGGACCGGCAUUGACGCUGAGGAGCGAAAGCCAGGGGAGCAAACGGG